GACGUAGGGCGCGAGCGUUGUCCGGAUUUAUUGGGCGUAAAGAGCUCGUAGGCGGCUUGUCGCGUCGGCUGUGAAAACCCGCGGCUCAACUGUGGGCGGGCAGCUGAUACGGGCAGGCUGGAGUUCGGUAGGGGAGACUGGAAUUCCUGGUGUAGCGGUGAAAUGCGCAGAUAUCAGGAGGAACACCGGUGGCGAAGACGGGUCUCUGGGCCGAUACUGACGCUGAGGAGCGAAAGCGUGGGGAGCGAACAGG
rnacentral:rRNA from 1 species